AAAGAAAAAGAGAAAACAUUUCUAAUUAGCACAGCGAUCGUAUUCCUGAAUAUUUUGAUAUAGAUAUAGGAAGAUGUGGUAUGAGUGCCAAUAAGACAACUCUCCAUCCAAAUAACAAUUUAAAAAAGUCAACCAUUAGAGGUCAAUGGACGGCCUUCGACACAGAGCCUUGGCUCAAACCGAAAAACAAGCUAUAAAGGGUCCCAAAAUUACUAGACGUGUAAAACCAUUCAAACUGGAAAACCAACGGUCUAAUCUAUAUAAUAAAACCAGAAACGAGAACAUGGUAUAAAUACAUAAACAAACGAC
rnacentral:lncRNA from 1 species